GGACCAAAUGUUUUUCUCUCAUAUCCAGGAGGUCCCUGACCUGAAGAUGCCUUAGGCAGUUCUUUAUUGUGUGCAUUUACUUGUUCAAGCUUUAACUAGACUUUAUAGUAGGCCAUCAGUUAUUUUAAAGCAGACAUCUAGAAACAUGCUUCUCUUAUUCUUGAAAUUCAGUGGG